GCACUUUAUACUGUGAACUGCGAAUGGCUCAUUAAAUCAGUUAUCGUUUAUUUGAUAGUACCUUACUACAUGGAUACCUGUGGUAAUUCUAGAGCUAAUACAUGCUAAAAACCUCGACUUCGGAAGGGGUGUAUUUAUUAGAUAAAAAACCAAUGCCCUUCGGGGCUCCUUGGUGAUUCAUAAUAACUUAACGAAUCGCAUGGCCUUGCGCCGGCGAUGGUUCAUUCAAAUUUCUGCCCUAUCAACUUUCGAUGGUAGGAUAGUGGCCUACCAUGGUGGCAACGGGUAACGGGGAAUUAGGGUUCGAUUCCGGAGAGGGAGCCUGAGAAACGGCUACCACAUCCAAGGAAGGCAGCAGGCGCGCAAAUUACCCAAUCCCGACACGGGGAGGUAGUGACAAUAAAUACUGAUACGGGGCUCUUUUGGGUCUCGUAAUUGGAAUGAGUACAAUCUAAAUCCCUUAACGAGGAACAAUUGGAGGGCAAGUCUGGUGCCAGCAGCCGCGGUAAUUCCAGCUCCAAUAGCGUAUAUUAAAGUUGUUGCAGUUAAAAAGCUCGUAGUUGAACCUUGGGUCUGGCUGGCCGGUCCGCCUCACCGCGAGUACUGGUCCGGCUGGACCUUUCCUUCUGGGGAACCUCAUGGCCUUCACUGGCUGUGGGGGGAACCAGGACUUUUACUGUGAAAAAAUUAGAGUGUUCAAAGCAGGCCUUUGCUCGAAUACAUUAGCAUGGAAUAAUAGAAUAGGACGUGCGGUUCUAUUUUGUUGGUUUCUAGGACCGCCGUAAUGAUUAAUAGGGAUAGUCGGGGGCGUCAGUAUUCAGCUGUCAGAGGUGAAAUUCUUGGAUUUGCUGAAGACUAACUACUGCGAAAGCAUUCGCCAAGGAUGUUUUCAUUAAUCAGGGAACGAAAGUUAGGGGAUCGAAGACGAUCAGAUACCGUCGUAGUCUUAACCAUAAACUAUGCCGACUAGGGAUCGGGCGGUGUUUCUAUGAUGACCCGCUCGGCACCUUACGAGAAAUCAAAGUUU
rnacentral:rRNA from 1 species